GACCCCGCCGGGCCGCGACAUUUUUCGCGAGCCGCUACUGCCAGUCAGCUGAGCAGCAGUUCCCGCCCCUUCGCUCUGAUUGGUUUUCGAGGAGACUGUCUAGAAUUAAGUGAGAGCCAAUGAAAAGUCUUUUGGGGAUUCUCCCAGCCUCGCUACACUUAAUCACAUCCAGCAGACCCUCUCAACUGUGCCCACAAGCCUAUGGAUAUCAUGGAUCUUUCUUAAGUGGGCAGAUAUGGAGCCUUACAAACUAACUGGUCUUUGGACAAAGCACUGGACUCUCCUGCCCUCCUGGUUCUCCAGCCCAGAAAACAUUGGUGUCCACUUGCUGCUGUCCUUGUGAGGAAACGUGUCUCUACUCGGCUGGUUGACCAGCAUUCUCCACUUUCCUUCCUGUUGCGGCCGUCUGGUCUUCCUUUAUAUCCUGAUUGCUUCCUUGCCUUCCUUAUUUCUGUAUUUAUCUCUGUUUUGCUUGCCUUCUGGCUUUCUAGCAAUGUUGUCUUGUAGCUCACUCUGUAGGUAUUGCUGGACUCCAUCUCAUAGAGACCCCAUUGCCUCUGCCUCCUUUAUGCUGAGGUUGGUCAGCCCCAACUGAUGUCGAAGGGCAAGCUCAGCCUGAGACCUUUAUGUCUGUCACAUUUCAGCAAUGCUGACACCAUCCAGUCCGUCUACCUUGGAUAUCUAGAGCCUCACUCUGGUUCCACAACUCAAUGGACUCCCAACUACCCACACUUGUCCUAAAUUUCCUUCAAAGAGGUGAAGGCGUAGGCCUGACGGUGGCUCAGUUUCAGUUCACGUAUUGCUCCUAGGAUAAAUGCUUGUUAACAGAUAGGGCUGGUUACAUUUUGUGAGGAACUGACCUACCUUUAAUCAGUAGCAAGGAAGCUUCAGUCUGCCUCCCAGGGCCCAGCCACUCCCAGCUGUAGAAAUACAGAAUCUCCAUUUGACCUUUGACUAGUUCCGGAAGUCUGUUUCAGAAAAGACAUUUGUUUACUGGGCCAAGUCCCAGGCAACUUUCUGGAAUUCUACUGCUGAUUUAAAUUAACAACUAAAUCAAAUGCAAAUUUAACCAGACAGGGCCAGAUAACGCUCAUAGUCUGAGUACUUGUCCAGCUGUGUGUGAGAUCCUGGCAUCAACCCCCAACACUGAGUGAUAAAGAAGGGGGGAAAAAAAGGAAAUAGACUGAAAAAAUGUUAUUACAUGUCUUUUAUUUUAUGUGUAUUUGGUCACAAGACUGCCAUGGCUCACAUGUAGAGGCAAAAAGCAAAUAUGUGGGGACUGAUUUGCCCCUUCCAUCGUGUGGACAAUGGAAAUAAAACUCAUGUCCUGAGGGUUGGUGACAAAA